AAAAAGAUAAGCUAAUAUAAGCUAUUGGGUUCAUACCCCAAUUAUAAAGAAUAACCUUUUCUUUUUA
rnacentral:tRNA from 1 species